GCCGGGCAUGGUGGCACACGCCUGUAAUCCCAGCUACUUGGGAGGCUGAGGCAGGAGAACUGCUUGAGCCCAGGAGGCAGAGGUUGCAGUGAGCUGAGAUCGUGCCAUGGCACUCCAGCUUGGCUGUCAGAAAAAAAAAAAAAAAAGCUCUGAGAUUUAAGUCAUACUUAGGAUGUCACCAGUCAGAGAUUUUUUUUUUUUUUUUUUUUUUUAAGAUGGAGUCUUGCUCUGUGUUGCUCAGGCUGGAGUGCAGUGCAUGAUCUCAGCUCACUGCCACCUCUGGCUCCUGAAAUCAAGGAAUUAUCCUGCCUUGU
rnacentral:SRP_RNA from 1 species